AGACAGCAGGGGAAACCCACUGCUGUAAGCCAGAGAACCAAGCUGUCUAGAGACAGUGCUUGCAAAUGGAUUGAAAUCUUCCUUGGGGGUUUCUGUAACAAAGCUGGGCCUGGGCCUGGGCCUCACCAGCGUGCCUAAUAAUGUCAUCAGGACUAAGGACAUGAGGAGGAUGAGGUGUCCCCUACCCAGCAGUGAAACAUCCCAGUACAAAGAUCAAAACAAAAUGUGACUGGACCUCAGACAAAGGAGGAGAAGGGAAGUUGUUGAAGUCCCCACACAGAUGUCUGAUUACAACUCCACCAAGGUGCAUUUGAAACUGUGUCACAGCUCAGCCUCUUCUCCCCAGUGCCUGUGGAGGCACUUCCAGCAUUACACAUCACAUCUUUGACUCACCAAUUACCUGGCUGGAAUUUCAGUAUGAAAAUUGGGCAGAUAUUAACUUCUUUUCACACACUGAAACUUUGUUCUACCUGUGAAGCAAUAUAUUUAUGUAAUGUUUUCAGCUUACACAAGACUAUGGGCUGGAGUGAGUAGGUUUUUGAAGGAUAAUGCUGAAGAAAAUGAUGUCAGAUACUGUCAGC